GCUCAGACGAACGCGGCGGCGUGCUUAACACUGCAAGUCGAACGGAAAGGCCCAGCUUGCUGGGUACUCGAGUGGCGAACGGGUGAGUAACACGUGGGUGAUCUGCCUGGACUCUGGGAUAAGCUGGGAAACUGGGUCUAAUACCGGAUAUGACCUUACAUCGCAUGGUGUUUGGUGGAAAGCUUUUGCGGUUCAGGAUGGGCCCGCGGCCUAUCAGCUUGUUGGUGGGGUAAUGGCCUACCAAGGCGACGACGGGUAGCCGACCUGAGAGGGUGAUCGGCCACACUGGGACUGAGACACGGCCCAGACUCCUACGGGAGGCAGCAGUGGGGAAUAUUGCACAAUGGGCGCAAGCCUGAUGCAGCGACGCCGCGUGAGGGAUGACGGCCUUCGGGUUGUAAACCUCUUUCACCAGGGACGAAGCGCAAGUGACGGUACCUGGAGAAGAAGCACCGGCCAACUACGUGCCAGCAGCCGCGGUAAUACGUAGGGUGCGAGCGUUGUCCGGAAUUACUGGGCGUAAAGAGCUCGUAGGCGGUUUGUCGCGUCGUCUGUGAAAUUCUGCAACUCAAUUGUAGGCGUGCAGGCGAUACGGGCAGACUUGAGUACUACAGGGGAGACUGGAAUUCCUGGUGUAGCGGUGAAAUGCGCAGAUAUCAGGAGGAACACCGGUGGCGAAGGCGGGUCUCUGGGUAGUAACUGACGCUGAGGAGCGAAAGCGUGGGUAGCGAACAGGAUUAGAUACCCUGGUAGUCCACGCCGUAAACGGUGGGUACUAGGUGUGGGGCUCAUUUCACGAGUUCCGUGCCGUAGCUAACGCAUUAAGUACCCCGCCUGGGGAGUACGGCCGCAAGGCUAAAACUCAAAGGAAUUGACGGGGGCCCGCACAAGCGGCGGAGCAUGUGGAUUAAUUCGAUGCAACGCGAAGAACCUUACCUGGGUUUGACAUACACCAGACGCAUGUAGAGAUACAUGUUCCCUUGUGGUUGGUGUAC
rnacentral:rRNA from 1 species